rnacentral:rRNA from 1 species
UAGGGAAUCUUCCGCAAUGGACGCAAGUCUGACGGAGCAACGCCGCGUGAGUGAAGAAGGAUUUCGGUUCGUAAAACUCUGUUGUUAGAGAAGAACAGCGCAUAGAGUAACUGUUAUGCGUGUGACGGUAUCUAACCAGAAAGUCACGGCUAACUACGUGCCAGCAGCCGCGGUAAUACGUAGGUGGCAAGCGUUGUCCGGAUUUAUUGGGCGUAAAGCGAGCGCAGGCGGUCAAUUAAGUCUGAUGUGAAAGCCCCCGGCGCAACCGGGGAGGGUCAUUGGAAACUGGUUGACUUGAGUGCAGAAGAGGAGAGUGGAAUUCCAUGUGUAGCGGUGAAAUGCGUAGAUAUAUGGAGGAACACCAGUGGCGAAGGCGACUCUCUGGUCUGUAACUGACGCUGAGGCUCGAAAGCGUGGGUAGCAAACAGG